GGACUACACGGGUAUCUAAUCCUGUUUGCUCCCCACGCUUUCGCACCUCAGCGUCAAUACCGGUCCAGUGAGCCGCCUUCGCCACUGGUGUUCUUCCGAAUAUCUACGAAUUUCACCUCUACACUCGGAAUUCCACUCACCUCUCCCGGAUUCAAGCGACCCAGUCUCAAAGGCUAUUCCGGAGUUAAGCUCCGGGCUUUCACCUCUGACUUAGGAAGCCGCCUACGUGCGCUUUACGCCCAGUAAUUCCGAACAACGCUAGCCCCCUCCGUAUUACCGCGGCUGCUGGCAC
rnacentral:rRNA from 1 species